rnacentral:rRNA from 1 species
CAAGGAAUUUUCCGCAAUGGGCGAAAGCCUGACGGAGCAACGCCGCGUGCGGGAUGACGCGUUUCGGCGUGUAAACCGCUGUUCGUGGGGACGAAGCACUGACGGUACCCACGGAGGAAGGCCCGGCUAACUACGUGCCAGCAGCCGCGGUAAUACGUAGGGGUCGAGCGUUGUCCGGAGUUACUGGGCGUAAAGCGUGCGCAGGCGGCUCAUUGCGCCCGGCGUGAAAGCCCCCGGUUCAACCGGGGAGGGUCGUCGGGGACGGGUGAGCUUGAGGGUAUCAGGGGCUGGUGGAAUUCCCGGUGUAGUGGUGAAAUGCGUAGAGAUCGGGAGGAACACCCGUGGCGAAGGCGGCCAGCUGGGAUACACCUGACGCUGAGGCACGAAGGCGUGGGGAGCGAA